rnacentral:rRNA from 1 species
CCUACGGGUGGCAGCAGUGAGGAAUAUUGGUCAAUGGCCGUAAGGCUGAACCAGCCAAGUAGCGUGAGGGAUGACUGCCCUAUGGGUUGUAAACUUCUUUUAUGUGGGGAUAAAGGUGUGCACGUGAGGAUGUUAGUAUGUAUCGCAUGAAUAAGGACCGGCUAAUUCCGUGCCAGAAGCGGCGGUAAUACGGAAGGUCUGGGUGUUAUCCGUAUUUUUUGGGUUUAAAGGGAGCGUAGGCGGGUCUUUAAGCGUGCCGUGAAAGUUUGAGGCUCAACCGUGGGAGUGCAGCGGAAACUGGAGGCCUUGAGUGCACAGAGGGAAGGCGGAAUUCGUGGUGUAGCGGUGAAAUGCUUAGAUAUCACGAAGAACCCCGAUUGCGAAGGCAAGCUGCCGGGGCGUAACUGACGCUGAGGCUCGAAAGCGCGGGUAUCGAACAGGAUUAGAUACCCUUGUAGUC